rnacentral:lncRNA from 1 species
AUCAGGACUGGGGACUGUUCUCCUGCUUGAACAUUUUUUGGAUGAACAAGAGCCCAAGAAAGAAGUGUUCUGUGAAUCUUCAAAUAUUUCCCUACAUAACAGCGCUGAAACAGAUAACCCAGAUUAUUCUGCAAAGCAUCCAGUGAGGCCCUACAGCUCUGUGCCUGAUUUGACCUGUCGGAAUUCAUCCAGCAUUCCAGAACAAUCUAAUUCCAGGCCAGAACUGAGGAAUACCACUAAUAUUCACCAUUCUGCAACUAAUAUGAGCAUUAGAACAAAGCAUCAACCAUCAAAUGGAUCUACAAAAGCAUGCAGUAAACAAAACUCAUGCCAUCCUGACAAACAUUUUCCAGCAAUGAUCAAACAUCAUCUGAGGAGCAAAACUGCGAAAAACAAAGGUGCCUGUGAAACUCCAACUGUUAAAAAUUUCCACCCAUUUGGUGAAUUGUCUUUCCAAUAUGUUGGAAGAAAAGCAAUUUCAUCACAGUCAGCAGUCAAGGCAAUGAGAAAGAAAUUUUCUGAGAAUGGCAGGGAAAAAACAUCUUUCUUUAUUUCAGAAUUUUUCAGCAAACAAUUUACAUCAUCUGAGAAGCAAUUACAACAUCUCUGUCAAGUCCAGUCUCAACACCCCACCAAUCGAGCAAAAAGUGCUUACCUCUCCAGAGAAGUCGUAGGGACCAGAAGCACUUUUGACAGGAAACCAGCAAAAUACUAUAAUAUUCACUUCAGCCUGCAGAAGCCAACGAUUCAGCAACACGGCUUGCAAGAUUUGCUGGUGAUCUCACAGAUGAACAGCCAGUCAACAAAAGCUCGUAACCCUAGAGUGAAAAGUAGUCCUUAUUCUUAAGGGUCUAAAUGAAUUAUCUGCAAGCACUGGACAGCACUGAAGCCCAGAAGAAACAGCUUUCUAUUAAAGAGAACCGAGAACUAUUUGAACAAUUGAACUAUACAUUUUUCAAGCAUAAUCCUAUUGAAAGGAGCUUCCAUGCAGCUAAUUAAAUUUGAGCUAUGAAGUGAUAGGGCAUUUUUUAGAUUAAGUGGAUCUUAAGAUAGCAGAAUGUCCUGAUUUUUCUACUUCUUGAAGAAAUAUGCAGCUAUCUAUAAUUUCCUAAAUAAGAAAUCCUCUCCUGUACAUUUUUAAGAAAAUGAAUGCUGCAUUAAGUGAGUUUCAAAUAUAGAGAUGUGAUCUUUUGUACUACUCGCAGUCGUGUAUUUCUGUACCUCUGUCUUGCUCUGUGUACUGUAGACUGGCUCCUAAGGAAUGAACAUGACCCAACAUAUAGUGGGUUUUUUUUCCUGAUUUUGUUUUUUAAAUAAAAAAAUAAGUCUUGGAGGUUUCGGUAGAAAACUUAAGCGUUGCUUAAUUAUUCCCCUCUAGUUAUCUAUUCGUUUAAACAUUUUCC